AACGGUCUAUACCUGCGGUACCUGCGGAGGGAUCAUUACCGAGUGAGGGCCCUCUGGGUCCAACCUCCCACCCGUGUUUAUCGUACCUUGUUGCUUCGGCGGGCCCGCCUCACGGCCGCCGGGGGGCACCUGCCCCCGGGCCCGCGCCCGCCGAAGACAUCAUUGAACUCUGUCUGAAGAUUGCAGUCUGAGUAGAAUAGCUAAAUCAGUUAAAACUUUCAACAACGGAUCUCUAGAUCG
rnacentral:misc_RNA from 1 species